UACGGAGGAUCCGAGCGUUAUCCGGAUUUAUUGGGUUUAAAGGGAGCGUAGGUGGAUUGUUAAGUCAGUUGUGAAAGUUUGCGGCUCAACCGUAAAAUUGCAGUUGAAACUGGCAGUCUUGAGUACAGUAGAGGUGGGCGGAAUUCGUGGUGUAGCGGUGAAAUGCUUAGAUAUCACGAAGAACUCCGAUUGCGAAGGCAGCUCACUGGACUGCAACUGACACUGAGGCUCGAAAGUGUGUGUAUCAAACAGG
rnacentral:rRNA from 1 species